CCUACGGGAGGCAGCAGUGGGGAAUUUUGGACAAUGGGCGAAAGCCUGAUCCAGCAAUGCCGCGUGAGUGAAGAAGGCCUUCGGGUUGUAAAGCUCUUUUGUCAGGGAAGAAACGGUGAGGGCUAAUAUCCCUUGCUAAUGACGGUACCUGAAGAAUAAGCACCGGCUAACUACGUGCCAGCAGCCGCGGUAAUACGUAGGGUGCAAGCGUUAAUCGGAAUUACUGGGCGUAAAGCGUGCGCAGGCGGUUUUGUAAGUCUGUCGUGAAAUCCCCGGGCUCAACCUGGGAAUUGCGAUGGAGACUGCAAGGCUAGAAUCUGGCAGAGGGGGGUAGAAUUCCACGUGUAGCAGUGAAAUGCGUAGAGAUGUGGAGGAACACCGAUGGCGAAGGCAGCCCCCUGGGUCAAGAUUGACGCUCAUGCACGAAAGCGUGGGGAGCAAACAGGAUUAGAUACCCUGGUAGUCCACGCCCUAAACGAUGUCUACUAGUUGUCGGGUUUUAAUUAACUUGGUAACGCAGCUAACGCGUGAAGUAGACCGCCUGGGGAUACGGUCGCAAGAUUAAAACUAAGGAAUUGACGG
rnacentral:rRNA from 1 species